CCCUUAGAUGUUCUGGGCCGCACACGCGCUACACUGAAGGAGGCAGCGUGUACUCCUGGAUCGAAAGAUUUGGGUAACCCGCGAAUCUCCUUCGUGCUAGGGAUUGAGGUUUGCAAUUAUCCUUCAUGAACGAGGAAUUCCCAGUAAGUGCAAGUCAUAAGCUUGCGCUGACUACGUCCCUGCCCUUUGUACACACCGCCCGUCGCUCCUACCGAUUGAGUGAUCCAGUGAAUAAUUCGGACUGCAGUGCUCGGCAACGAGCGCAUGCGGAAAGUUUAGUAAACCUUAUCACUUAGAGGAAGGAGAANUCGUANCA
rnacentral:rRNA from 1 species